AGCUGGGAAGCGAGGCUUCACACUGCCUUUCAAAGCAGCCCCAUCCCAACUCCUACUUGCAUGCAAGCAGAAGGGGGCAGGGAUCUCUCAGGCAGUGCGAUGCCUCCCUUCCCAUCAGAGCAGCCCAAAUCCCAUUCCUACUUGCCUGCAAGCAGGAGGGGGUGGGGAUCCCUCAGCUGGGAAGGGAGGCUUCCUGUUGCCUAACUGAGAGAUCCCUGCCCCCUCCUGCUUGCACGCAAGUAGGAGUUGGGAGGCUGCUCCGAUAGGCAGCAUGAAGCCUCCCUUCACAGCU